rnacentral:rRNA from 1 species
UACAGAGGGUGCUAGCGUUGUUCGGAAUUACUGGGCGUAAAGGGCGCGUAGGCGGUUUAUUAAGUUAGUUGUGAAAGACUCGGGCUCAACCUGAGAUGUGCAACUGAUACUGGUAGGCUAGAGAAUGGUAGAGGAAAGUAGAAUUUCUAGUGUAGGGGUGAUAUCCUUAGAUAUUAGAAGGAAUACCAGAGGCGAAGGCGGCUUUCUGGACCAUAUCUGACGCUGAGGCGCGAAAGCGUGGGGAGCAAACAGG